GGUCAGCGGUUCAUUCCGUCCGCCUGAAAAGCGGAAGGUCGGCGGUUCGAUCCCGCCCCUGGCCA
rnacentral:tRNA from 1 species